rnacentral:rRNA from 1 species
UAGGGAAUAUUGCUUAAUGGGCGAAAGCCUGAAGCAGCAAUGCCGCGUGAACGAAGAAGGCCUUCGGGUCGUAAAGUUCUUUUACGUGGGAUGGGGAAGGACAGUACCACGAGAAUAAGUCUCGGCUAACUACGUGCCAGCAGCCGCGGUAAAACGUAGGAGACGAGCGUUAUCCGGAUUUACUGGGCGUAAAGCGCGUGUAGGAGGCGCUACAAGUUGGAUGUGAAAGCUCCCGGCUUAACUGGGAGAGGUCGUUCAAGACUGUAGGGCUAGAGUGAGGCAGAGGUAGAUGGAACUCCGGGAGUAGUGGUGAAAUGCGUAGAUAUCCGGAAGAACACCAGAGGCGAAAGCGAUCUACUGGGCCUAAACUGACACUGAGACGCGAAAGCCAGGGUAGCAAACGG